CUAAAAAUUAGACCGGAAGUAGAAACAAUGCUAUUUAACCCUUUUACCACACCCCUUUAAUUAGAAAUGCCUAGGCUGAGUUGGACUUCUGCAGCCGCCAAAGUCUAUAGCAACACCAACCAGGCUACGCCCCCAUUUCCAAUGCCUUUUAUUUUACCAUAAUGGCUCUUAUUUUUUGUUAGUCAAAAUUUGUUAAGUGUUUUUGCUUGAAAAAAAUUUUUAAUGACGAAAUUUUUGUUCCACAUGGCUAGUAUGCAGAUAAUUAUUUAUUCAUGAAAAUUAAUUUUAACAAGAAAUUGAGAUUUUGACGAAAUUUUUGACUAAUAAAAAUUUGGAGCUAUACGGGUACUCUCAAUUAGUAAAAUUUAAACCAUUCAUGAAUAAUCCUGUUUGAUGUUAAUGAUAUGAAUGAGGUUUCCAAAUGCUAUGGAGACCACUACAUUGAAGCCAUUCGACAAAAUACCACAAGUGUACAUUUGCUUGAGCCUAAUUAAUAACUAUACACCUUUGUGAGUAUGGUGUGACAUACUGUAUCACUAUACUCCCAACUGACCCAACAAAGCCAUAAGAUUCUUCUAUUUUCACAGAAGAGAUUCCCACCCCAGGGGCGUAGCCAGGGGGGGCAAGGGGGGCAAUUGCCCCCCUUUUUUAAAACUCAAAAUUUAAAAAUAAUCAAAUAAUAAACUGCUUUUGGAAGGAAAAGCUGUUCUACAACUUACAUAUCAAAGGAAAAGGCCAAAGCAGUCUUUCUAUGAUGCCAUUAUAAGGCUGAAAAGGUAUUCAACGUUGCCUAUAAUAGGUUAAGAAGUCCGCCAUGUUGAAAAAUAGGUGUAGCCACGCUACCAAAAGGGGGUGGCUUCGCAAAAUUUCGCGGCGCGCUUCGCGCGCCGCACAGCUUGCCCCCCCCCCUUUUCCAAAAAUCCUGGCUACGCCACUGCACCCUAUAAUAAACUACAGAAUCUCUCUCUCCUAUUGAACACUAAAAUCAAAUGUCUAUAAAAUAUUAUGGAACAGUUACUUAACAUCAAUAAAAAUAAUAAAGCCACUGCUGUAUUAUUAGGUGAUAGUAUUGGUGAUAAAAAGGCUAAGAACAUAUAUUAAAAUUUACUGACACAUUAACAAAUUGUACAAAGUUUUCUAAACCUGGAAGAUUUGUACGUUGACCUAAGGGGAGAUAGGGUCAUUCCAGUGUAUUGAUCAACUGUAGCUCAGGACCACAGCUAGUGGUGGGUGGAUUACUUAUCAAGGACUGUUGGUUGUUAAAUAUAAGCAAAAUGGAAUGGAAAGAACCGACAUUUUGGACAAGAAGUCUUUAAAAGUUCUUUCCAUUAUUGUGCUCAUUGGUACUGCAUGCAAUUGGUGUUCAAGUUGCUGAUUUGUUGCAUAGAGCUUCUAUGCAACUGCUUCUGAUAAGUUGAUACUAUUGUUCCAGAGAUGAAUGGACUCCAAUAAAGGAGUGACCUGGAGGAAGGUCCUGCAAGUUUGUAAAGAUUAUCCAGAGGAAUUUGGAAGUGUCCAAGCUAAUGUGGAAAGAUUUUUUAUCAGACUGAGCCUGUGAUAACUCAGUAUUUUAGCCUUUUCCUGUAUGACUCUUAUAUUGAUGAUACUGUAAUAGUUUUCAUGGCCUU